AUCAAAAUUGGCACACAUUGUGAAAUAAUUUCCAAGAUAAUUUAGUUGUAUUUGCUUGGCCAGACACCCAUGAAAUGUUGCAGUUUGUCUCUAGA